AACGUAGGAGACAAACGUUAUCCGGAGUUACUGGGCGUAAAGGGCGCGUAGGCGGGUCGUUUAGUUAGAGGUGAAAGCCCAGGGCUCAACCCCUGGAAUUGCCUUUAAUACUGGCGGCCUUGAGUAUGGCAGAGGUGUGUGGAACUCCGAGUGUAGAGGUGAAAUUCGUAGAUAUUCGGAAGAACACCAGUGGCGAAGGCGACACACUGGGCCAUUACUGACGCUGAGGCGCGAAAGCGUGGGGAGCAAACAGG
rnacentral:rRNA from 1 species